GACGAACGCUGGCGGCGUGCUUAACACAUGCAAGUCGAACGGAAAGGCCCUGCUUUUGUGGGGUGCUCGAGUGGCGAACGGGUGAGUAAAACGUGAGUAACCUGCCCUUGACUUUGGGAUAACUUCAGGAAACUGGGGCUAAUACCGGAUAGGAGCUCCUGCUGCACGGGGGGGGUUGGAAAGUGUCGGCGGUUGUGGCUGGAUUCGCGGCUUAUCCGCUGGUUGGUGGGGUAGUGGCUUACCAAGUCUUUGAAGGGUAGCCGGCCGAGGAGGGUGACCGGCCACCUUGGGACUGAGAUACGGCCCAGACUCCUACGGGAGGCAGCAGUGGGGAAUAUUGCACAAUGGGCGGAAGCCUGAUGCAGCAACGCCGCGUGCGGGAUGACGGCCUUCGGGUUGUAAACCGCUUUCGCCUGUGACGAAGCGUGAGUGACGGUAAUGGGUAAAGAAGCACCGGCUAACUACGUG
rnacentral:rRNA from 1 species